CAAUCGGCCCUUUUCAGGGCCACGACAAUUUUUCAAACGUUGGAAU
rfam:Nasonia vitripennis chromosome 5 unlocalized genomic scaffold Chr5_random003, whole genome shotgun sequence.